GCCACCGCGGUCAUACAAGAAACCCAAAUUAACUGUAUACGGCGUAAAGAGUGGUAACAUGCUAUCGCACCAACUAGAACCAAAGUACAACCAAGCCGUCACACGCCCAAGAUGUAUCUAAAUUCACCUCAAAAUGAUUCUAGCCACUGUUGAUCAAUUGAAUCCACGAAAGCUAAGACCCAAACUGGGAUUAGAUACCCCACUAUGCCUAGCCUUAAAUCUUGAUGUUUACCUUACCAAAAACAUCCGCCCGGGAACUACGAGCACAAACGCUUAAAACCCUAAGGACUUGGCGGUGUCCUAAAUCCACCUAGAGGAGCCUGUUCUAUAAUCGAUAACCCACGAUGCACCCAACCACCCCUUGCCAAUUCAGCCUAUAUACCGCCGUCGCCAGCUCACCUCCCUUGAGAGAACAGCAGCGAACACAAUAGUUUAACCCACUAGCAAGACAGGUCGAGGUAUAGCCUAUGAGGUGGUAGAAAUGGGCUACAUUUUCUAAAAUAGAAUAACCCACGGAAGAAAGUGUGAAACCACUUCCAAAAGGCGGAUUUAGCAGUAAAGAGGGAUAAUAAUGCCUCCUUUAAACCGGCCCUAGGACACGUACAUACCGCCCGUCACCCUCCUCAUAAGCCCUCAACUACCACUACCUAAUAUCUCCCUUUGGCUAAAGACGAGGCAAGUCGUAACAAGGUAAGUGUACCGGAAGGUGCACUUAGCAUAU
rnacentral:rRNA from 1 species